CUAUUACUUCAAUCAUAGGUGUUUUAAUAUGAAAUUCUGCUCAACUUCCAAGCAAAAAAAUCUCCAUCCUGCUAAGUGCAGAGAAGAGCCUGAAGUGCUGGGACACCCCACAGACUGCAGAAAAGGGAAAACACUGAGAAAUCCAUGAUUCCCUGUAGGACACAAAGUGUGAAAAUGAAGAAGAGGGAAGGAGGAAAAGAUGACAGGGCCCUGUCUCCUCAAUUGCACCAGCACUGCAGUUUCUGGCAUUAUUCUGGUACGAAAAACAACCUGUAUUAAGAACAACUCUGAAGAAGACUGCAAGACAACUCAGCAUUACCUUUCAGAUGGUUAUGCCAUCACACUACUGUGUUGCAACACCAGGGUGUUGCAAAGAAUGCCUUAAAAUGUGGGGCUACUCAAACCUAAAAUGGCUUGGGAGUGGCAUAUUCAUUACUCUACGCAUGGCCUCAUCUUAAAAGAAGAUUAGCAUUAACA